CUGGUGGAUCGGUUGUCGCGCCAGCGGCACAGCCGAGUAGCUAUGUAUGGACGGGAUAACCGCUGAAAGCAUCUAAGCGGGAAACCCACCUCAAAACCAGUUUUCCCUUGAGAGCCGUGAUAGACGAUCACGUUGAUAGGCUGGGUGUGGAAGAGCAGCAAUGCUUGUAGCUUACCAGUACUAAUCGCUCGAUUGGCUUGAUUAC
rnacentral:rRNA from 1 species